rnacentral:rRNA from 1 species
GAUGAACGCUGGCGGCGUGCCUAAUACAUGCAAGUCGAGCGAACAGACGAGGAGCUUGCUCCUCUGACGUUAGCGGCGGACGGGUGAGUAACACGUGGAUAACCUACCUAUAAGACUGGGAUAACUUCGGGAAACCGGAGCUAAUACCGGAUAAUAUAUUGAACCGCAUGGUUCAAUAGUGAAAGACGGUUUUGCUGUCACUUAUAGAUGGAUCCGCGCCGCAUUAGCUAGUUGGUAAGGUAACGGCUUACCAAGGCAACGAUGCGUAGCCGACCUGAGAGGGUGAACGGCCAAAAUGGAACUGAGACACGGUCCAGACUCCUACGGGAGGCAGCAGUAGGGAAUCUUCCGCAAUGGGCGAAAGCCUGAAGGAGGAAAGGCGCGUGAGUGAAGAAGGUCUUCGGAUUGUAAAACUCUGUUAUUAGGGAAGAACAAAUGUGUAAGUAACUAUGCACGUCUUGACGGUACCUAAUCAGAAAGCCACGGCUAACUACGUG